CUUUCUUUAGCUUGAACUGCCAUCUGGACUCCCAGGCUCAAACACAAACUGAAAACACCCAUAACAUCCACACCCUCCUCCUCAUAUGCAGAUAGCCUUUCAUAAGGCCCUGGGAGGGCUCCAACCCUAUAAGUUUUUAUUUAUUUAAGUCAUCUCCACACUCAACGUGGGGCCCAAAUUCAGGAUGCAGAGAUCAAGAGUCACAUGCUCCACCAACUGAGCCGGCCCGCAGCCCCAGCUUUGUUCAAUGUUUAAUGAAGUUUCGGAUAAGCAAACUGAGCUCCAUUUGUACAAUGAAAUGUUACUCAACAACGAAGAAGGAAUGAACUGCUGAUACACAGAACAUGGCUGAACUUCAGAAACCUUAUUUUGAGUGAAAGAUGCCAGACACCAACAAACACACUCUGUAUACUUCUACAUAUCAGACGUUCAGGAACAAUUUUAUGCAUCGUAAUGAGUGUCAGAACAAUGGUUACAACAACACAACAAUGGUUACAACCCUGUUGUGUUGACUUGGGAAGGACACAUAGGACAUUUCUGGAGUGAUGGAAAUGGUCCGAAUCUUGGAAGGAAUGUGGGUUACCGAGAUAAAAGCGUCGGUCAAUAUCAUUGCAAUGGUAUGCUUGUAAUUAUGUAAAUUCUAUGUCCAUUAAAAACCCUGUGAUUUGGGGGUGCCUGGGUGGCUCAGUCAGUUAAGAGUCCAACUCUUUGUUGUUGUUGUUGUUUGUUGUUGUUAAGCGUCCAACUCUUGAUCUCAGCUCAGGUUGUGAGCUCAAGCCCCACGUUGGAUGUGAAGCCUACUUAAAAAUAAAUAAAGAAAUAAAAAUAAACUAAAGCCCUGGGAUUUGGGUUUCAUAAUUAACAUAAUUCAUCUCACAGGCGCUCACCAAUUUUCUGAAAUUGCUUGCGUUUAAAAUCUUUUUCUUCUGGGGUGCCUGGGUGGCUGUCAGUUAAGUGUCUAACUUUGGCUCAGGUCAUGAUCUCACAGUUCAUGGGAUCAAGCCCCCAUUGGGCUCCAGGCUGACAGAGCAGAGCCUGCUUGGGAUUCUGUCUCUCUUUCCCUCUCUCUCUGCCCCACCCCUGUCUCUCAAAAUAAAUAAAUAAACUUAAAGAAGUCUUUUUCUUCUAACGAAUUGGAAGCCAAGUAGUUCCCAAACUAUCCUCCUCCACAAGAAAUAAAAUGGAGAGUCCACUGAGAGGGAAAUCAUAAACACCAGAAGUAAAAACCACGGGGAGUCAUAGGCUAGUAGAACAGCCAGGUAAGAAC